rnacentral:tRNA from 1 species
UUCAGAAAUAGUUUAAAAAAAAAUAUAAAUUUUGGAGAUUUAAGAUAUGUGGAAAUUUUCUGA